GGGUUGUGAGGUUAAGCGACUAAGCGUACACGGUGGAUGCCCUGGCAGUCAGAGGCGAUGAAGGACGUGCUAAUCUGCGAUAAGCGUCGGUAAGGUGAUAUGAACCGUUAUAACCGGCGAUUUCCGAAUGGGGAAACCCAGUGUGUUUCGACACACUAUCAUUAACUGAAUCCAUAGGUUAAUGAGGCGAACCGGGGGAACUGAAACAUCUAAGUACCCCGAGGAAAAGAAAUCAACCGAGAUUCCCCCAGUAGCGGCGAGCGAACGGGGAGCAGCCCAGAGCCUGAAUCAGUGUGUGUGUUAGUGGAAGCGUCUGGAAAGGCGCGCGAUACAGGGUGACAGCCCCGUACACAAAAAUGCACAUGCUGUGAGCUCGAUGAGUAGGGCGGGACACGUGGUAUCCUGUCUGAAUAUGGGGGGACCAUCCUCCAAGGCUAAAUACUCCUGACUGACCGAUAGUGAACCAGUACCGUGAGGGAAAGGCGAAAAGAACCCCGGCGAGGGGAGUGAAAAAGAACCUGAAACCGUGUACGUACAAGCAGUGGGAGCCUCUUUAUGGGGUGACUGCGUACCUUUUGUAUAAUGGGUCAGCGACUUAUAUUCUGUAGCAAGGUUAACCGAAUAGGGGAGCCGAAGGGAAACCGAGUCUUAACUGGGCGUUAAGUUGCAGGGUAUAGACCCGAAACCCGGUGAUCUAGCCAUGGGCAGGUUGAAGGUUGGGUAACACUAACUGGAGGACCGAACCGACUAAUGUUGAAAAAUUAGCGGAUGACUUGUGGCUGGGGGUGAAAGGCCAAUCAAACCGGGAGAUAGCUGGUUCUCCCCGAAAGCUAUUUAGGUAGCGCCUCGUGAAUUCAUCUCCGGGGGUAGAGCACUGUUUCGGCAAGGGGGUCAUCCCGACUUACCAACCCGAUGCAAACUGCGAAUACCGGAGAAUGUUAUCACGGGAGACACACGGCGGGUGCUAACGUCCGUCGUGAAGAGGGAAACAACCCAGACCGCCAGCUAAGGUCCCAAAGUCAUGGUUAAGUGGGAAACGAUGUGGGAAGGCCCAGACAGCCAGGAUGUUGGCUUAGAAGCAGCCAUCAUUUAAAGAAAGCGUAAUAGCUCACUGGUCGAGUCGGCCUGCGCGGAAGAUGUAACGGGGCUAAACCAUGCACCGAAGCUGCGGCAGCGACACUAUGUGUUGUUGGGUAGGGGAGCGUUCUGUAAGCCGUUGAAGGUGUGCUGUGAGGCAUGCUGGAGGUAUCAGAAGUGCGAAUGCUGACAUAAGUAACGAUAAAGCGGGUGAAAAGCCCGCUCGCCGGAAGACCAAGGGUUCCUGUCCAACGUUAAUCGGGGCAGGGUGAGUCGACCCCUAAGGCGAGGCCGAAAGGCGUAGUCGAUGGGAAACAGGUUAAUAUUCCUGUACUUGGUGUUACUGCGAAGGGGGGACGGAGAAGGCUAUGUUGGCCGGGCGACGGUUGUCCCGGUUUAAGCGUGUAGGCUGGUUUUCCAGGCAAAUCCGGAAAAUCAAGGCUGAGGCGUGAUGACGAGGCACUACGGUGCUGAAGCAACAAAUGCCCUGCUUCCAGGAAAAGCCUCUAAGCAUCAGGUAACAUCAAAUCGUACCCCAAACCGACACAGGUGGUCAGGUAGAGAAUACCAAGGCGCUUGAGAGAACUCGGGUGAAGGAACUAGGCAAAAUGGUGCCGUAACUUCGGGAGAAGGCACGCUGAUAUGUAGGUGAAGCGACUUGCUCGUGGAGCUGAAAUCAGUCGAAGAUACCAGCUGGCUGCAACUGUUUAUUAAAAACACAGCACUGUGCAAACACGAAAGUGGACGUAUACGGUGUGACGCCUGCCCGGUGCCGGAAGGUUAAUUGAUGGGGUCAGCGCAAGCGAAGCUCUUGAUCGAAGCCCCGGUAAACGGCGGCCGUAACUAUAACGGUCCUAAGGUAGCGAAAUUCCUUGUCGGGUAAGUUCCGACCUGCACGAAUGGCGUAAUGAUGGCCAGGCUGUCUCCACCCGAGACUCAGUGAAAUUGAACUCGCUGUGAAGAUGCAGUGUACCCGCGGCAAGACGGAAAGACCCCGUGAACCUUUACUAUAGCUUGACACUGAACAUUGAGCCUUGAUGUGUAGGAUAGGUGGGAGGCUUUGAAGCGUGGACGCCAGUCUGCGUGGAGCCGACCUUGAAAUACCACCCUUUAAUGUUUGAUGUUCUAACGUAGACCCGUGAUCCGGGUUGCGGACAGUGUCUGGUGGGUAGUUUGACUGGGGCGGUCUCCUCCUAAAGAGUAACGGAGGAGCACGAAGGUUGGCUAAUCCUGGUCGGACAUCAGGAGGUUAGUGCAAUGGCAUAAGCCAGCUUGACUGCGAGCGUGACGGCGCGAGCAGGUGCGAAAGCAGGUCAUAGUGAUCCGGUGGUUCUGAAUGGAAGGGCCAUCGCUCAACGGAUAAAAGGUACUCCGGGGAUAACAGGCUGAUACCGCCCAAGAGUUCAUAUCGACGGCGGUGUUUGGCACCUCGAUGUCGGCUCAUCACAUCCUGGGGCUGAAGUAGGUCCCAAGGGUAUGGCUGUUCGCCAUUUAAAGUGGUACGCGAGCUGGGUUUAGAACGUCGUGAGACAGUUCGGUCCCUAUCUGCCGUGGGCGCUGGAGAACUGAGGGGGGCUGCUCCUAGUACGAGAGGACCGGAGUGGACGCAUCACUGGUGUUCGGGUUGUCAUGCCAAUGGCACUGCCCGGUAGCUAAAUGCGGAAGAGAUAAGUGCUGAAAGCAUCUAAGCACGAAACUUGCCCCGAGAUGAGUUCUCCCUGACUCCUUGAGAGUCCUGAAGGAACGUUGAAGACGACGACGUUGAUAGGCCGGGUGUGUAAGCGCAGCGAUGCGUUGAGCUAACCGGUACUAAUGAACCGUGAGGCUUAACCUUACAACGCCGAAG
rnacentral:rRNA from 1 species